ACACAUGCAAGUCGGGCGGAUCUCUCUAAUUGCAGCAAUGCAAUUGGAGAGAUCGAGCGGCAAACGGGUGAGUAAUGGAUAGGUAAUCUACCAUAAUGACUGGGAUACCCCUUGAAAAAGGGAUCAAUACCAGAUAAUGUCAGUUUAAAUACUUUUAAACUGAAGAAAGAUGGCCCAAAGCUAUCACAUUAUGAUGAGCCUAUCUCCUAUCAGCUUGUUGGUGAGGUAAUGGCUCACCAAGGCUAUGACGGGUAGCUGGUCUGAGAGGAUGGUCAGCCACACUGGAACUUAGAUACGGUCCAGACUCCUACGGGAGGCAGCAGUGGGGAAUCUUGGGCAAUGGGCGAAAGCCUGACCCAGCGACACUGCGUGGGUGAUGAAGAUCUUUGGAUUGUAAAACCCUUUUCCUGAAGAUGAAAGGUAGGAUUGAGAAUAUCCUUCCUACCCUGACAGUAUUCAGGGAAUAAGCCCCAGCCAACUACGUG
rnacentral:rRNA from 1 species